ACUUUUUCACUUACUUUUCAGCCUUUAAGUCUAUUUUUUCUCCUACCCUAGCAGUUCUCCUCUCCUCUCUUAUUUUUUUCCUCUCAAAGUUUCUUCCUUUUUUUGGGAUUUCAUCACAGUUGUGUUGCCCUGUUUUUUUUAUUUUUGUUUGUCCAGUCACCUCAUUGAACAUUUAGACCUCCUAAACCAUCCUUAUUUUCUGCCCUAAAAUUCCCUUUUUUUCUCUCCUAACAUCCUCUUUUACUGUCCAUUGCCACUCCCUCUCCCUUGUUCAUAUCAAUGCCAGUAAAUCCUAUUUUUUUUCUCUGUUCUUAUACUUUGUGAUCCGAUUUUUGGCUACUAUUUUUAUAUCCAAUAAGUCAUCAUUCUAGCCCUUAAAAUUUUGCUUUUUGGUUGUCCAAAGAUCCCUCCUUGUAGCACCCCAGAUUUGCCUCUUUUGUCACCUCAAAUGGUGUUGCCACGCCCUUAGAGUACCAUUGUUUUGGGAUUGUCGUUUCUCUUCAAUUUUCGCCCCUACUAUUUUAAUUUUUUAGAUUUUUCCCUCUAUUUGGUUCUGAUUUAAACGUUCCUAAUUGAUAAUUCAGAAAGAUGUUCAUCCGACAACUCAGAUCAGGGUAAUGGGUGGUGCAAAGUGCAAACUUGUGCGAGAUCUUGCACUGUUUUUCUUUAUUACUAAUUUCUUCUUUGGUCGAUUGGUUUAAAAUCUGAACAGGGGUUUUGGUUACUGAUUUUUGGGGAUUAAUUAUGUUUAUAUGCUGAUUUAAACUUCUCGGAUCAUCAAUGACUGCAAAACUCAUUCGUACGUAUGUUUGGCAUCAAAUCAGUGAUGGGAUUAUGUGGAUGAAGGAGGAGUUCCGUGAAGUAAUGGAGGCAUAUUAAGUCCGCAUAUAUGUUAUCAGUGCACUGCACUGGGAGUAAUGAGGAGAACAACGAUUAUAUCAUAUUUAUUUUGAAUGGCAGUAUAUCUUCAUUACAUAUAAUGGUGGUUUAACCACAUCGAGCCCAACUCGCAAUGUAUGGAGUUUGGCAGAUGAGUUCUGGGGAAUUUGUGGUGUAUAGCGGAUGGUUGGGGUAAGAUACGAGUGAAAAGCAUAAGGUCCGAGCUUGGGAGCUUCAUGUCACAACUCACUUGAGGUUGUAACAUAUUUAUAUUAGUGUUAUUGUAUAAGGAUUUUGCAUGUACAUAAGGACCUAAUUUGAUUGUGGUAUUUGUAAAUUUUGAUUUGAAAAUUUAAGUUGUUUUAAUGUAAUUAUCCAAGUUUUAUUCCAUUAUUUGACUUGGAUAUUUAUGCUUCGAA